UACGUAGGUGGCAAGCGUUGUCCGGAAUUAUUGGGCGUAAAGCGCGCGCAGGUGGUUCCUUAAGUCUGAUGUGAAAGCCCACGGCUCAACCGUGGAGGGUCAUUGGAAACUGGGGAACUUGAGUGCAGAAGAGGAAAGUGGAAUUCCACGUGCAGCGGUGAAAUGCGUAGAGAUGUGGAGGAACACCAGUGGCGAAGGCGACUUUCUGGUCUGUAACUGACACUGAGGCGCGAAAGCGUGGGGAGCAAACAGG
rnacentral:rRNA from 1 species